GGGUGUGAGGGUGAUCUGGUUGCAGCAUCUGACACCCCUUUGAUUGCCAGGGUUGAUUCAGCUGAUCUGGCUGGCUAGGAGGGUGUCCCCUUCCUUCCUCACCACUCCUUGUGUGUUUCUUCUGAAGCUGCACUCUCAGUGGAAGAGGACAACCAUCCCUGCUAGAGGAGGACCUUUCUUUGGUCAAGGGGAUACAGGUGGCUGAGCUCUCCUGAUAGAACCUCCAAAUAAGCUCUUAAGGUAUUAUCGCUUUAGGUAUCAAUAUUAUCUUUCCCAAAUCUCUGCCUUCGCUUCAUUUUGUGGCAUGAAGUGCAAG
rnacentral:snRNA from 1 species